UACGAAGGGGACUAGCGUUGUUCGGAAUUACUGGGCGUAAAGCGCACGUAGGCGGAUUUGUUAGUCAGGGGUGAAAUCCCGGGGCUCAACCUCGGAACUGCCUUUGAUACUGCAAAUCUCGAGUCCGAUAGAGGUGGGUGGAAUUCCUAGUGUAGAGGUGAAAUUCGUAGAUAUUAGGAAGAACACCGGUGGCGAAGGCGGCCCACUGGAUCGGUACUGACGCUGAGACGCGAAAGCGUGGGGAGCGAACAGG
rnacentral:rRNA from 1 species